UACGUAGGCAGCGAGCGUUGUUCGGAAUUACUGGGCGUAAAGAGUGUGUAGGCGGUGCUCUAAGUUCGGUGUGAAAUCUCCCGGCUUAACUGGGAGGGUGCGCCGGAAACUGGAGUGCUCGAGCGUGGGAGAGGAAAGCGGAAUUCCUGGCGUAGCGGUGAAAUGCGUAGAUAUCAGGAGGAACACCUGCGGUGUAGACGGCUUUCUGGACCAUUGCUGACGCUGAGACACGAAAGCGUGGGUAGCAAACAGG
rnacentral:rRNA from 1 species